rnacentral:rRNA from 1 species
GACGAACGCUGGCGGCGUGCUUAACACAUGCAAGUCGAACGGAAAGGCCCUGCUUUUGUGGGGUGCUCGAGUGGCGAACGGGUGAGUAACACGUGAGUAACCUGCCCUUGACUUUGGGAUAACUUCAGGAAACUGGGGCUAAUACCGGAUAGGAGCUCCUGCUGCAUGGUGGGGGUUGGAAAGUUUCGGCGGUUGGGGAUGGACUCGCGGCUUAUGGGUUUGUUGGUGGGGUGGUGGCUUACCAAGGCUUUGACGGGUAGCCGGCCUGAGAGGGGGCCCGGCGAUAUUGGGCAGACUCAGGGGCGCGGCACCCGUAGGGAGGAAGGGGGGGGGAGUUUGACACAGUGGCCGCCAGCCAGAGGGCACGACGCCGGGUGUGGGAGGCGGCAUUUGGGUUUGAAACCGGAUUUCACAGGCGGGGGCGGGGAAUUGAGGGUAAGGGGGAAAAAAGCCACGGCUAACUACGUG